UACAGAGGGGGCAAGCGUUAAUCGGAAUUACUGGGCGUAAAGCGCGCGUAGGUGGUUUGUUAAGUUGGAUGUGAAAGCCCCGGGCUCAACCUGGGAACUGCAUUCAAAACUGACAAGCUAGAGUAUGGUAGAGGGUGGUGGAAUUUCCUGUGUAGCGGCGAAAUGCGUAGAUAUAGGAAGGAACACCAGUGGCGAAGGCGACCACCUGGACUGAUACUGACACUGAGGUGCGAAAGCGUGGGGAGCAAACAGG
rnacentral:rRNA from 1 species